UCGCGUCUUACGACGGCAGUUUCACUAGAGUUCCCAGCGUUACCUGAUGGCAACUAGUGAUGGGGGUUGCGCUCGUUGCGGGACUUAACCCAACAUCUCACGACACGAGCUGACGACAGCCAUGCAGCACCUGUGUCUAGGUUCCCCGAAGGGCACUCCCUAAUCUCUUAGAGAUUCCUAGCAUGUCAAGACCUGGUAAGGUUCUUCGCGUUGCUUCGAAUUAAACCACAUGCUCCGCUGCUUGUGCGGGCCCCCGUCAAUUCUUUUGAGUUUUAGUCUUGCGGCCGUACUCCCCAGGCGGAACACUUAUCGCGUUGGCUACGGCACAGACAGAUUCGACUCCGCCCACACCUAGUGUUCAUCGUUUACAGUGUGGACUAC
rnacentral:misc_RNA from 1 species